GAUGAACGCUGGCGGCGUGCCUAAUACAUGCAAGUAGAACGCUGAAGGAAGGAGCUUGCUCUUUCCGGAUGAGUUGCGAACGGGUGAGUAACGCGUAGGUAACCUGCCUGGUAGCGGGGGAUAACUAUUGGAAACGAUAGCUAAUACCGCAUAACAGUAGAUGUUGCAUGAUAUCUACUUAAAAGGUGCAAUUGCACCACUACCAGAUGGACCUGCGUUGUAUUAGCUAGUUGGUGAGGUAACAGCUCACCAAGGCGACGAUACAUAGCCGACCUGAGAGGGUGAUCGGCCACACUGGGACUGAGACACGGCCCAGACUCCUACGGGAGGCAGCAGUAGGGAAUCUUCGGCAAUGGACGGAAGUCUGACCGAGCAACGCCGCGUGAGUGAAGAAGGUUUUCGGAUCGUAAAGCUCUGUUGUAAGAGAAGAACGAGUGUGAGAGUGGGAAGUUCACACUGUGACGGUAUCUUACCAGAAAGGGACGGCUAACUACGUG
rnacentral:rRNA from 1 species